GAUGAACGCUAGCUACAGGCUUAACACAUGCAAGUCGAGGGGAAACGGCAUUAAGUGCUUGCACUUUUUGGACGUCGACCGGCGCACGGGUGAGUAACGCGUAUCCUACCUUCCCAUGACUAAGGGAUAACCUGCCGAAAGGCAGACUAAUACCUUAUGGUCUUCACUGACGGCAUCAGAUGUGAAGUAAAGAUUUAUCGGUUAUGGAUGGGGAUGCGUCUGAUUAGCUUGUUGGCGGGGUAACAGCCCACCAAGGCAACGAUCAGUAGGGGUUCUGAGAGGAAGGUCCCCCACAUUGGAACUGAGACACGGUCCAAACUCCUACGGGAGGCAGCAGUGAGGAAUAUUGGUCAAUGGGCGAGAGCCUGAACCAGCCAAGUAGCGUGCAGGAAGACGGCCCUAUGGGUUGUAAACUGCUUUUGGAUGGGGAUAAAGUCAAUCACGUGUGAUUGUUUGCAGGUACCAGACGAAUAAGGACCGGCUAAUUCCGUG
rnacentral:rRNA from 1 species